UACAGAGGUCCCAAGCGUUGUUCGGAUUCAUUGGGCGUAAAGGGUGCGUAGGUGGCGCCGUAAGUCAGGUGUGAAAUUUCGGAGCUUAACUCCGAAACUGCAUUUGAUACUGGCGUGCUUGAGGACUGGAGAGGAGACUGGAAUUCACGGUGUAGCAGUGAAAUGCGUAGAUAUCGUGAGGAAGACCAGUGGCGAAGGCGGGUCUCUGGACAGUUCCUGACACUGAGGCACGAAGGCCAGGGGAGCAAACGGG
rnacentral:rRNA from 1 species